GAAAUAUAUAAUAAUUAGGCUGCUAACUUAAUUUUUAGUGAAUAAAAUCAUUAAUAUUUCU
rnacentral:tRNA from 1 species